CCGAGUUUACAACUCCCAAACCCCUGUGAACAUACCACUUGUUGCCUCGGCGGAUCACCGCGCCCCGUGAAACGGGCCGGCCCGCCAGAGGACCCCAAACUCAAAUGUUUUAUUGUAUCUUCUGAGUAAAAAAAACACAAAUAAAUCA
rnacentral:misc_RNA from 1 species